AAAGCGUGCGCAGGCGGUUUUGUAAGACUGUCGUGAAAUCCCAGGGCUCAACCUGGGAAUGGCGAUGGUGACUGCAAGGCUAGAGUUUGGCAGAGGGGGGUAGAAUUCCACGUGUAGCAGUGAAAUGCGUAGAUAUGUGGAGGAACACCGAUGGCGAAGGCAGCCCCCUGGGUCAAAACUGACGCUCAUGCACGAAAGCGUGGGGAGCAAACAGGAUUAGAUACCCCUGU
rnacentral:rRNA from 1 species